rnacentral:tRNA from 1 species
GGGAAUAUAGCUCAAUGGUAGAGCAGUAGGCUUUUAACCUAAUGGUUGUGGGUUCGAAUCCCACUAUUCUCA